UACGUAGGUGGCAAGCGUUGUCCGGAGUACUGGGCGUAAAGCGCACGCAGGCGGUCCUAUUAGUCUGGGGUGACAGUUCCCGGCUUAACCGGAAAAGGACUCUGGAAACUGUAGGACUUGAGGGCUUCAGAGGGAUGUGGAAUUCCAGGUGGAGUGGUGAAAUGCGUAGAGAUCUGGAAGAACACCAAAGGCGAAGGCAGCAUCCUGGGAAGUUCCUGACGCUCGGGUGCGAAAGCCAGGGGAGCGAACGGG
rnacentral:rRNA from 1 species